rnacentral:rRNA from 1 species
ACCAUGCAGUCGAGCGGUAAGGCCUUUCGGGGUACACGAGCGGCGAACGGGUGAGUAACACGUGGGUGAUCUGCCCUGCACUUCGGGAUAAGCCUGGGAAACUGGGUCUAAUACCGGAUAUGACCUCCUAUCGCAUGGUGGGUGGUGGAAAGAUUUAUCGGUGCAGGAUGGGCCCGCGGCCUAUCAGCUUGUUGGUGGGGUAAUGGCCUACCAAGGCGACGACGGGUAGCCGACCUGAGAGGGUGACCGGCCACACUGGGACUGAGACACGGCCCAGACUCCUACGGGAGGCAGCAGUGGGGAAUAUUGCACAAUGGGCGAAAGCCUGAUGCAGCGACGCCGCGUGAGGGAUGACGGCCUUCGGGUUGUAAACCUCUUUCAGCAGGGACGAAGCGCAAGUGACGGUACCUGCAGAAGAAGCACCGGCUAACUACGUGCCAGCAGCCGCGGUAAUACGUAGGGUGCAAGCGUUGUCCGGAAUUACUGGGCGUAAAGAGUUCGUAGGCGGUUUGUCGCGUCGUUUGUGAAAACCAGCAGCUCAACUGCUGGCUUGCAGGCGAUACGGGCAGACUUGAGUACUGCAGGGGAGACUGGAAUUCCUGGUGUAGCGGUGAAAUGCGCAGAUAUCAGGAGGAACACCGGUGGCGAAGGCGGGUCUCUGGGCAGUAACUGACGCUGAGGAACGAAAGCGUGGGUAGCGAACAGGAUUAGAUACCCUGGUAGUCCACGCCGUAAACGGUGGGCGCUAGGUGUGGGUUCCUUCCACGGAAUCCGUGCCGUAGCUAACGCAUUAAGCGCCCCGCCUGGGGAGUACGGCCGCAAGGCUAAAACUCAAAUGAAUUGACGG